rnacentral:rRNA from 1 species
AUUGAACGCUGGCGGCAUGCUUUACACAUGCAAGUCGAACGGUAACAGGCCGCAAGGUGCUGACGAGUGGCGAACGGGUGAGUAAUGCAUCGGAACGUGCCCAGUCGUGGGGGAUAACGCAGCGAAAGCUGUGCUAAUACCGCAUACGAUCUAUGGAUGAAAGCGGGGGACCGUAAGGCCUCGCGCGAUUGGAGCGGCCGAUGUCAGAUUAGGGAGUUGGUGGGGUAAAGGCUCACCAAGCCAACGAUCUGUAGCUGGUCUGAGAGGACGACCAGCCAAACGGGGACUGAGACACGGCCCAGACUCCUACGGGAGGCAGCAGUGGGGAAUUUUGGACAAUGGGCGCAAGCCUGAGCCAGCAAUGCCGCGGGCAGGAAGAAGGCCUUCGGGUUGUAAACUGCUUUUGUACGGAACGAAACGGUCUGGGUUAAUACCUCGGGCUAAUGACGGUACCGUAAGAAUAAGCACCGGCUAACUACGUGCCAGCCGCCGCCGUAA